GUGGCUCCCCGCCCGUGGAGGAGGCAGAUCCCCCAGCAGCUGGGGCAGGGCCGGCCGAGGAGCAAGACUCGCCACCCCGCCACCCGCAACCCCAUCAGGGCCCCCACUGCGCCACUGCUGGAGCCAGAGGCCCAGAAAAGGGGGUCCUCGGCUGCGGAUCAUACAGCCCCUUGGGGUGCAGGCCUGGUCUCAGUGUCCAGGCGUAGCUGUGCGAAGUUCCCGGCCCCACGGAACCGGCUGGAACCCCACGGAUCCCUGACGAUCGGACCAACGGACAGACCCUGGAGGGCAGGCCCAUGGACCCCUUCAGCACCAAGAGCCUGGCGGCGCAGGCGCAGAAGAAGGUCCUGAGCAAGAUG
rnacentral:lncRNA from 1 species